GACGAAUGCUGGCGGCGUGCUUAACACAUGCAAGUCGAACGGAAAGGCCCUGCUUGCAGUGUACUCGAGUGGCGAACGGGUGAGUAACACAUGGGUGAUCUGCCCUGCACUUCGGGAUAAGCCUGGGAAACUGAGUCUAAUACCGGCUAGGAGACAUUUUUAGUGUGAUGGUUGGAAAGUUUUUUCGGUGUAAGAUGAGAUCGCGGCCUAUCAGCUUGUUGGUUGGGUAAUGGCCUACCAAGGCGGCGACGGGUAGCCGGCCUGAGUGGGUGGACGGCCACAUGGGGACUGAGAUACGGCCCAGACGCCUACGGGAGGCAGCAGUGGGGAAUAUUGCAGAAUGGGCGCGAGCCUGAUGCAGCGACGCCGCGUGGGGGAUGACGGCCUUCGGGUUGUAAACUACUUUCGCUAGGGACGAAGCUGUUGUGACGGUACCUAGAUAAGAAGCACCGGCUAACUACGUG
rnacentral:rRNA from 1 species